CAGUAGCCACGGGAAUACGUAGGUGGCAAGCGUUGUCCGGAAUUAUUGGACGUAAAGGGCUCGCAGGCGGUUUCUUAAGUCUGAUGUGAAAGCCCCCGGCUCAACCGGGGAGGGUCAUUGGAAACUGGGAAACUUGAGUGCAGAAGAGGAGAGUGGAAUUCCACGUGUAGCGGUGAAAUGCGUAGAGAUGUGGAGGAACACCAGUGGCGAAGGCGACUCUCUGGUCUGUAACUGACGCUGAGGAGCGAAAGCGUGGGGAGCGAACAGGAUUAGAUACCCCCGUAGUCCCUGUCUCUUAUAC
rnacentral:rRNA from 1 species